GGAAGCCCAAAGCAAAGUCAUGAGAGCUUAUGCUCAAAGUAGACAAUAUCAUACCAUCACGACUCCUAAUAGCAGUUUAUGCCAAGAAUGACCGGUGGGAUGAUGCCUAUGAAUUACUUGAUGAGAUGAUGCCGACGGGUGUGGAUUGGGAAUGAGAUUUUACAAUACACUGUUAGAAGCACUUUGGUGGCUUGGACAGAAAGGGCGUGCUGCAAGGGUUCUCACUGAUGGAUGUGCACAGAGCGAAAUCAAACUAACGGGAGAGUUUCAAAUGGUGUGAGUUGCUGGAGAAGAUGAAGAGUUUUAGAUUGAUUCAUUAAAUAUGGUGACAGGUAAUUAUACUCUCAAAUUGACAUUUUUCAUCGGUGAAUUUGGUUCAUUAUACAUAGAUAAGUUAAGUAUACUCUUUUUUUUUUGCUCAACAAAUUCAUCUUUAGAUUCUAAAAUACUCAUAUUUUUAAACAUGUUAUGGCAAUAGAAUAAAGUAAAGUCAUAAGAGCUUAUACUCAAAGUGGACAAUAUUAUACCAUUCUGGAGAGUCGUGUUCAUCUAACAUGAUAUCAGAGUCAUACUUUAAACUUAGCUAUGUCAAUAGAGUCCUCAAAUGUAGAACAAAUGACUCCAAAAG